GGUUAAGCGACUAAGCGUACACGGUGGAUGCCCUGGCAGUCAGAGGCGAUGAAGGACGUGCUAAUCUGCGAAAAGCGUCGGUAAGGUGAUAUGAACCGUUAUAACCGGCGAUGUCCGAAUGGGGAAACCCAGUGCAAUUCGUUGCACUAUCGUUAACUGAAUACAUAGGUUAACGAGGCGAACCGGGGGAACUGAAACAUCUAAGUACCCCGAGGAAAAGAAAUCAACCGAGAUUCCCCCAGUAGCGGCGAGCGAACGGGGAGCAGCCCAGAGUCUGAAUCAGCUUGUGUGUUAGUGGAACGGUCUGGAAAGUCCGACGGUACAGGGUGAUAGUCCCGUACACCAAAAUGCACAGGCUGUGAACUCGAAGAGUAGGGCGGGACACGUGGUAUCCUGUCUGAAUAUGGGGGGGCCAUCCUCCAAGGCUAAAUACUCCUGACUGACCGAUAGUGAACCAGUACCGUGAGGGAAAGGCGAAAAGAACCCCGGCGAGGGGAGUGAAAAAGAACCUGAAACCGUGUACGUACAAGCAGUGGGAGCACCUUCGGGUGUGACUGCGUACCUUUUGUAUAAUUGGUCAG
rnacentral:rRNA from 1 species